rnacentral:miRNA from 1 species
UUCAGUUGUUUGUUCCUAUACAUAUAAUAUAUAUAUAUAUAUAUAUAUAUAUAUAUAUAUAUUAUAUGUAUAGGAACAAACAACUGAAAACCUAA